rnacentral:rRNA from 1 species
UACGGGGGGAGCAAGCGUUGUUCGGAUUUACUGGGCGUAAAGGGCGCGUAGGCGGCCAGCACAAGUCAGUUGUGAAAUCUCCGGGGCUUAACUCGGAAAGGUCAACUGAUACUGUGCGGCUAGAGUGCAGAAGGGGCAACUGGGAAUUCUCGGUGUAGCGGUGAAAUGCGUAGAUAUCGAGAGGAACACCUGCGGCGAAGGCGGGUUGCUGGGCUGACACUGACGCUGAUGCGCGAAAGCCAGGGGAGCGAACGGG